CUACCUUCAAAUCUAAAGAGAUGAUUGUACAUUUUUGAGCCCCCAAUAGGACAAAAAGUGUUUGAUUUCUUGCUACUGUUUUAAUAUUCUCUUUGUCCUGGCUUAGAGCUUUAUUGCCGCAUAACUGGUGCACAGUAAAUGGCACAUAUUUAAAACCUACACGGUGAGGAGUUCUGACUUAGCUCCACACCAGCGAGACAGACCACAGUCAGAAAACAAGUCUCCUGUCACCCAGAGUUCUGUGCUCACUCUCCCCGGGCCCCUCCCCAGGAAGAGCUGCUUCCUGUCACCAUAGACAUGUCUGCAUUUUCUGGAAUUGUACAACGUGGAGUCAUACAGCGCCUGUGGUUCUGCCGCCAGCUCUUCUGCUCAGCGUGAGGUGUUUGAGAUUCAGCAACGCAGGGCGCCGUCAGCAGCCGCUGCCGUUUCAUUGCUGAGCUGUCCAGCAUUGCACCGACACAUGCUAAUUGGUUUAGCCAAUGACUUGCUGAGGAUAUCUGGGUUGUUUCUAGGUGCUAGUGGUCAGAAAUAAAGCUACAAGGUGAAGUCUAGCCAUGUUGCCCAGGCUUGUCUCAAACUCCAGGUCUCAAGUGAUCCUCCUGCUUUGGCCUCCCAAAGUGCUGGGAUUUCAGAAGGGCAAGUUGAGAUUGUCAGCGUGUAAAGCACAUGUCGUCAGCUUUAGGUAUUUUAAUCAUGGUAAGAAAUGGAAUUAACUGCUCAACCAAAACCACUGGAGAAUGAUCAUGGUCACCAUUUUUCCUGAAUCACGGAAAUCCCAAUCUUCAGAGGAACGGGGCAUUUGGACUCAUUUGACUGCUUCAGUUUCCUCAAAUUUUCUUGCUAAACUAAAACUAUGUAAAAUAAUACAGCAAUAAAGAGGCACUUCCAACGAUAUCUCUUCA
rnacentral:lncRNA from 13 species